GACAGAGGGUGCAAACGUUGUUCGGAAUUACUGGGCGUAAAGCGUGUGUAGGCGGUCUUGUAAGUCGGGUGUGAAAGCCCUGGGCUCAACCCAGGAAGUGCACUCGAAACUGCGAGGCUAGAGUACUGGAGAGGUUGGUGGAAUUCUCGGUGUAGAGGUGAAAUUCGUAGAUAUCGAGAGGAACACCGGUGGCGAAGGCGGCCAACUGGACAGAUACUGACGCUGAGACACGAAAGCGUGGGGAGCAAACAGG
rnacentral:rRNA from 1 species